rnacentral:rRNA from 1 species
GACGAACGCUGGCGGCGUGCUUAACACAUGCAAGUCGUACGGUAAGGCCCUUUCGGGGGUACACGAGUGGCGAACGGGUGAGUAACACGUGAGUAACCUGCCCACAACUUUGGGAUAACGCUAGGAAACUGGUGCUAAUACUGGAUAUGUGCUCCUGCUGCAUGGUGGGGGUUGGAAAGCUCCGGCGGUUGUGGAUGGACUCGCGGCCUAUCAGCUUGUUGGUGGGGUAGUGGCCUACCAAGGCGGCGACGGGUAGCCGGCCUGAGAGGGUGACCGGCCACAUUGGGACUGAGAUACGGCCCAGACUCCUACGGGAGGCAGCAGUGGGGAAUAUUGCACAAUGGGCGCAAGCCUGAUGCGGCAACGCCGCGUGCGGGAUGACGGCCUUCGGGUUGUAAACCGCUUUCAGCAGGGACGAAGCUUUUUGUGACGGUACCUGCAGAAGAAGCACCGGCUAACUACGUG